GGAGAGAUGGCCGAGCGGUCUAAGGCGCACGCCUGGAGAGCGUGUACACGCCAAAAGCGUGUCGUGGGUUCGAAUCCCACUCUCUCCGCCA
rnacentral:tRNA from 1 species